rnacentral:rRNA from 1 species
CCGCUGAAUUUAAGCAUAUAACUAAGCGGAGGAAAAGAAACUAACAAGGAUUUCCCCAGUAACGGCGAGUGAAGCGGGAAAAGCCCAGCACCGAAUCCCCCAGUGUUGUGCUGGCGGGAACUGUGGUGUGUGGGACGCCACCAGUCGUGCGUGCGAGCGCCGAAGUCCUCCUGAUCGAGGCUUCACCCAGAGCGGGUGUAAGGCCUUUGCUGGUGCUUCGCUGUGCGGCCGCGAGCGUCUCAGGAGUCGGGUUGUUUGGGAAUGCAGCCCAAAGUGGGUGGUAAACUCCAUCUAAGGCUAAAUACUGGCACGAGUCCGAUAGCGGACAAGUACCGUGAGGAAAGUUGAAAAGAACUUUGAAGAGAGAGU